rnacentral:rRNA from 1 species
UGGCCGCGGUAUUUUGACUGUGCUAAGGUAGCAUAAUAAUUAGGUUAUUUAUUGUGAUCUUGAAUGAAGGGUUUGACGUAGGAUAUUCUUUCUUAUUAUUAUAAAUGAAUUUAAACUGUUAGUAAAAAUGCUAAUAUUAUAUACUAAACGAGAAGACCCUAUUAAGUUUUAUAUAGAUUGUUUUAUUUUUUAGUUGAAUUUAGAUUAAUUUAUAUUUUGCUGGGGCGGUGGAUUGUAAAUUUACAUUAUAAGUAUAUUGUUGUAUAAAAUUAUUGAACCAUUAUUGAUGAUUAAUAGAUUAAAUUACUAUAGGGAUAACAGCAUAAUUGUAUUGAAGAGUUCUCAUUGAUAAUACAGUUUAUGACCUCGAUGUUGAAUCAAGAUUUCUUGAAGGUGUAGAUGUUUUUUUAGAUAGUCUGUUCGACUAUUAAAAUUUUACG